AUUUCACCAGUGCCUAGAACAGUGCCUGGCACAUAAUAGUUGCUGAAAAGAAGAAUUCAGCUUAUCACAACCUCCUAAAUCUCCCAAUAAAUCACCUGAAGUAAAAACAGCAACUCAAAAGCCUUGGAAGCGGGAGCUUUUGUAUCCAGGUUCUUCUAAGGAUGAUGUGAUUGAGAAAGGGCACAUGUAUCUGCUAAUUCUUACUGGAUCCCCAUGAAGAAAGCAUUAUCAUCAUUUUUCAAGUGAUAAAACAAGUGAAAAGACAUAUAGUCAUGAGUUGACAGAAAAGCUGAAUUUUGAAAACUAUACAUUGUUACGGCUAGAGUAUUACAGUGAAAAAGCAGGAGAUGAGCUGAAAAGUGAGGUUCAGAAUGCUAUUUCUUAUCUGUCAUAUUAAAGAAUCUGGAGAUUAUUCUCUAUGAACUC
rnacentral:lncRNA from 10 species